GUUCCUUUUCCGGGAUAACUCUGGUGCCGGUGCUCUUUUCAGCUGGAUGUCUGAUACCUUGGUCUUUCUUUGUGUUGGGAUUCUAAACUCCAGUUGAUUUCUGAGAACUAUGGUUAACUGAUUCUGAGAUCUCUGCCGGGUAAAUCCAGACAGCUAGCGAGACUAUCUGUCCAACCUG